CAGAUUGGGCAUACGCUUCACCCGUGCAACUUUGUCAUGUGCUCCACGGCAGCACAAGCCUUUACGGCUGUGCCACUAUGUGUGGAAACGUCGUAGCGGAUGAAUGUGAAUUAUGGAUCUCCAAGUGGCGUCCCCCGCGUCAUUUUCAAGAUUUUACCCGUUUUGAAGGUACGUAGUGAAUGUGCGAGGCAUUCACGUUCCUACUACGUGGUUAUCCAUGCGUUUCCCGUCUUCGCAGGCAAUAGGGCUGUUGAUAGGGAGAAUGCUAGGCUACUGCAGACUGCAACCAUAGGCGCUGUGUCUAAAGGUUAAGCUUACAUGACGCGGCAGGGAAGGGAGUCCGUGGCGAAAAGUGAAUAUAGCCGAAGUUGGAUAGCGUUAAUUUUUGCGCACGAAAGGCAAGCUGGACACAUCGCAAAUCUCCAGUUGUACGAAACACAGUGCAGCAUGGUCGUCGGUUAUGCCAGUGCUUCAACAUAUGUUUCAACGUCGCACUUCGGACAUUGCGGGCAUAUACCUUUAAGUUUUUCCCCUUGUGGACCGAUGCUGUGUGUGUUCAUGGACAUCAUGUGUUCAAAGACAUGUAAGUUCUAAAUAAUAAUGCGA